AUAUUUAAAUAAAUUUAUAUCAUACACCCGCCUAUUUAGGCGGGCCUUAUCUAGUAUCAAUAUAAUUCGUGAAAAA
rnacentral:sRNA from 1 species